rnacentral:rRNA from 1 species
ACGGAGGGGGCAAGCGUUACUCGGAAUUAUUGGGCGUAAAGGGCGCGUAGGCGGUCGUGCGCGUCGGAGGUGAAAUCCCCGGGCUUAACCCGGGAGCUGCCUCCGAUACGGCAUGGCUUGAGUCCGGGAGAGGGGAGCAGAAUUCCCAGUGUAGCGGUGAAAUGCGUAGAUAUUGGGAGGAAUACCAGUGGCGAAGGCGGCUCCCUGGACCGGUACUGACGCUGAGGCGCGAAAGCGUGGGUAGCAAACAGGA